AGGGGCAUGGUGUCAACGGUAGCACGUAGGUCUCCAAAACCUCAAGUGAGGGUUCGAAUCCUUCUGUCCCUGCCA
rnacentral:tRNA from 1 species